GGCAUUGUGGUCGAAUUGGAUAGACAUGGUUCCGCAAGAACUUUUAUAGUGGUUCGAGUCCACUCGAUGCCUCAA
rnacentral:tRNA from 1 species